UCAACAGAUUGACAUCUUCUGGAUUGCAGAUCCAUUGCUGCGGUGACCCCAUUUGUGCCUGGAUUUGUGCCAAUGUUGUGUAUCAGUGAAUUCUGAGGCAGUGAGGGUUGUUGGACAGAUUUACCAUCGUCGGAAGAGCCACAAACUGCUAAUAAGGAUUUUCUCAAUAAAAUUGGUUGGUUCAUUAAUCUAUACAAGAGAAGCAAUUUAUCUCAUGAAAUUCGAAGACAGGGAGAGCAAUGAAGGCAUGGAUGUUAUUAGCUCGAGGAUGGAGGAACAAAAUAUUGAAAAGGAAAAAAAAACAUGUUAUUACAGAAAGUAGGCAGAGGGAAGAAAAUCUCAGGAGAUGAUUCGAAAAUGAUUCAAGAAAUGGAAUGUACAAAUCAUUUAUAUCUAGGAAAAUUUAGUCUUUAUAGUUUGAUUAUUGGUCAAAUUUGUUUGGAUAAUGUAAAUAUUUAUUUAUUUUAAUGUUAAUUGUAUAAUACA